rnacentral:rRNA from 1 species
AUUGAACGCUGGCGGCAUGCUUUACACAUGCAAGUCGAACGGUAACAGGUUAAGCUGACGAGUGGCGAACGGGUGAGUAAUGCAUCGGAACGUGCCCGAUCGUGGGGGAUAACGCAGCGAAAGCUGCGCUAAUACCGCAUACGAUCUGAGGAUGAAAGCGGGGGACCGUAAGGCCUCGCGCGAUCGGAGCGGCCGAUGUCAGAUUAGGUAGUUGGUGGGGUAAAGGCCCACCAAGCCGACGAUCUGUAGCUGGUCUGAGAGGACGACCAGCCACACUGGGACUGAGACACGGCCCAGACUCCUACGGGAGGCAGCAGUGGGGAAUUUUGGACAAUGGGCGAAAGCCUGAUCCAGCAAUGCCGCGCAGGAAGAAGGCCUUCGGGUUGUAAACUGCUUUUGUACGGAGCGAAAAGGUCCUUUCUAAUACAAGGGGCUCAUGACGGUACCGUAAGAAUAAGCACCGGCUAACUACGUGCCAGCCGCCGCGGUAA